rnacentral:lncRNA from 1 species
CAAAGGAUAGUUAUGCCAUCCACGCGAGACAGAACCAGCUGAAGAAUGCUUAGCACAGAGACCUACAGGAGAUCUCCAAGUUUCUCAAGAGACCAUAACUGAAAGAAGCCACUUAUGAAGGAAGUAACAUUUUGGAUCAUGUCCUGGGUUGGAGAAGUCAAUGCUGGAUGCUUGUUACUAUGGCUACAGGAACAUGAUACUGCUUAGCUCUCACCUGAUCAGGAAACAGAGAAGAUGGGCCAACACUUGGGCCUAGCCAAAAUCUUUAAAGCAAUCUAUCUCCAUGGUAAGACCCCAGGUCUUAAAAUUUCUACAGCCUCCCAAAACAGCACCACUAUCUGCAACCCAUGUAUUCAAACACAUGAAUCAAUAGGGAAAACUCCACAUCCCACCCAUAGCAGACACCUGCCAUGUUUGAAGCUUUAAGAAGACCUUCAGCAGGAAUCCUUUCUUGACCUCAUGCUUCCUAGCCUCCAGAACUACGCAAUGAAUCUAUUUCUGAAAACUUCAAAUUCCCCAGUGCAUGGAAUUUUAUUAUAGCAGCAAUUAAUGAACUAAGUUAUACAUAAACUGCCUAUAAGAAUGCCCCCAAAGACCAAUUAACAUCAAAGAGAAUCUACUGAAAGAAGCUAGGAAAAUGGUGUCUCACUAUGUAGAUAAUAUAAACAAAGAUAUUUUAGAAAAAAUAUAACAAAUUUUAGAGCAGAAAAAUAAGGCUAUGCAUUUCUUAACAAUCAGGUCAUGAUCUGUGAAAUGCACUAUGUAAAUAUCACAGGGUGAAAAAAUGAAAACUCAAGUAUCUAUUAUGUUAUUAUGUGAUAGUCUAAAGGGACCUAUGUCAUGAAUGAAUCCUUUCAAUUAAGAAAAUGCUAAUGUAUAUCAUACAGCUAAAUAGACACGGAAGCAGCCUAUGAGAAAACUGACCCAGAAAACCAAAGUUACACAAGUGCUAAGGGAAAAAAAAUAUCUAAAUCCAUGUAGUUUGUUCUUGCUGCAUCCUGUCAGCAUGACUACAUGAGAAUCCAUAAGCACUCAGAUGCCCUCUAACUCCAUCCUUUGCAUAGCUGUCCCCUAUGUCCUGUACCUUAAAAAUAAUCCUAUGCCAAGGUCCAAAGCCUGCAGAUUACAUAGCUAAAUCAUGAUUCAGAAAAUAUGACUACAUAAGAUUUUGGAAUGUUUUCAUCUAUUAACUUUUAAAAGUUAAUAUGUGAAAUAAGUAUCAUUCUGUCAAAACAUCAAGCUUUCAAAAGAUCUUUAAAUUCAAGGUAAACAGAAAAAAAGUGGCUGCAAACUUCUCAAACGUCAGUUGUGAUGGCAUUUGAUGGCAUAAUUUAGAAUAUUUGGCAGCAUCAGCCAAUCAUUCACUGCGUGAUGCUUCAUUCUGCAGGCAGAGUGGUGACCCAACCUAAAAUGAGGUCAUUUCAUCAACUCUAAGUACCCAUUCUUCAUGGCUCUUGAUUCCUUCUGCACAAGCUAGGGAAAGGACUGUGUAUUUUCUUGCUCAUUUUAGAAGUAUGAGUAGUGUUCGUAGGUUCAUUAGGCUAAAUGCGCUCCACCUCAACAAAGCUAUCAUUUAGAAAUCCAACUCAGAGAACCAAGGUGUAUACGCAAAUAGCUCUUUCCCACAGCUUUAUAAAUUUUAAUAACUGCAGUUAGGGAAACGGAAUGCUUAUGAUGCAAACUUAUACAAUAAGGCCAUUAACUUUUUAUGUGGUGAAGUUUAAGAUACUGCAAUUACAAGCAUAUAAAUAUUGGUGAAGUAUCCAAUAGCAUUUAUAGUGGUAAACAGCAUGACUACAUCAUAACAAAGCAUUUUCUUCUUCGCGCUUAUUUAUAUUGUUAUUUUUUUUCCACAGUUGGUUUUUAGCAAUUUCACAUUCAUUUGAAAUAUAAUGCUAAAAGGGAACAAAAUCUAAUUCAGUUUUAACUUAUGGGGGAAGUUUUGUGCCUAAAAAUGGUUUUGUGACAUAAUUAAAUAUUUGGUUAUGUUUAUUUUCCUUCUCAAGCCAUGUUUUCCUUAUCAACACGUGUUGGAUAAACGUGUUCUUUGUAAAAUCUGAUUAUGUUUAUAGACUACUAUGCACUAUAUAAGGACAAAACUGAACAAGGUGUUUUGAAAAGGAAGGACAAUGUGAAAAUAUGCUGUAUUCUUUCUGAUAAGAAAACUAAUCUGCUAACAUAAGCCUGGCACACAUCUGUCUAGGUCUGGUGAAAGCUGGAUUUUCCCUUCUGUUUGCUGCCAAAUUUCCUAUACUUAGCCUAUUCUCUAUACAAUGAAUGUUCAUUGAAAUUAUUCACUAAAAAUAUCCACCUAUUCAAUGUAAAACAUGUCAAUGCAAUUCUCAGUCCAUACCAGAACCCAGCAGCUCACCCUUUACAAAUUAGUGUUCGACUCUGGGCAGACAGAGCAGACCCAAACGAAACCCAGGGCUUUUCAUUAACUUCAAGCACCUAUGCCUUCUGCCUCUUGCUUCCUAGUGCACAACCUUAGGAAAACUACUUAACAUCAUACGCUUUCUCCUUCAUUUUAAAAUUUUUCAUGGCUGUGUCUAAUUUUGAGGGUUACUACAUUAAUUAGAUUAAAGUUAAUAUAGCUAACCUCUAAUUCACUUGAAUAUAUCAGAAACCAAAUUGAGUUCAACCAGGAUUGCAGACCUUACAGAAACAUAUAAUCUUUUGGUGACAUUGAUUUAAGUUUUGAGGGACUCAUUCUUAUAUCUCUGUUCUUAACCGAGAAAGAUUUUAUAACUCCUUGCUGUUGUUUGUUUUGUUUUUUUGUUUUUUUGGGGUUUUUUGGGGUUUUUUUUUUUGGUUUUUUGUUUGAUUUGUUUUUAAGUACUUUAUUUUGGUGAUUCUAGCAUGUAGACACAUUCCAAAGUCUUUAUACUUUCUCCAAUUAAUCAUAUUCUUUCAGCAGAAGCUGUUACCAAGACUGUAAAAUGAAAGCGAUUUGUGAUGUAUAAAAGUGUUGAAUGUUACAGUUAAGGUCCUCUGGAACAUGAACUUUCCUUUGCAAAGCAGCAUUUAAAUAGCAAGCCAUCUGUUCCUUCCUGUUUCUAAUUAUAGGGAUGAACAUAAAUUUUAAUAGAUGUCUUAAUUUGAACCGCUUAUCAAGAGAAAACAAAAAAUAUAGAUUACUGAUUGGCUUUUAUAAUAACUUCAGUAUUAUCAAAAUGAGGAAUGUUUUAUAAAAUCCUGAUGUUUAAACAGAAACUUUAAUUUUCUAAAAUAAAAUAAUGGAACUUUUCAAAUGAUGGUAAGACUCACUUAAAAAUGGACACAAUGAAAAAUAUACAAGCAUUGACAUAUAAUAGUGAAUACUGUGAAAUGGAAACCGUAUUAACACAGCCAGAAUGGUUUUCAGAUACAAAUAGUUAAUAUUGAAAAUUAGUUAUAAAGGGAGAAAUAAUACCCACCUGUUAAAGAUCAAUUAGAGACCAAUAUUGGGAAAAGAAUUGACUCUGAUGAAUCCUAUGAAAUGUGCUCCUAAAAAUGGGAUUUAAAGUAGUUUUGUUUAUUAAUGGAGCAGGAGAUGUUUGCUGGCAUAGAUAGUAACUUGCAAAGCUCAUUCUGUAGCAAUAAAGAGUUCUGUCAGGAAAAUUACCUAAAACUAUAGAACAGGAACAAAUAUUAGUUAUAUUUACUAAUAUUGUUACUGUUUAUAAUAUUUCCAUAUCGUGGCCAUUUUCAGGGUACGAGUGUUAAAACAUAGAAAUUUCACUAUAUUAGUUACCCCAGGAACACAGAAGUAGAAAAGGCAGAUCUAGGAUUCAAUAAAAAUCUAUAUCUGUUCACAAAGAAAAUGGAGAUUUAAAAAAACAAAAUGAAGGAAUAUCUUAUGCUUGAAGGAAAUGAGAAACUAUCAAAAAUAUUCAUAGAUUAAUUGCACAAAACUACAUUUUCUGCUGAUGAAAAUUAUCAUAAACAAAACCAACUUCAGAAUAGGGGAAAUAAAGGUUUGUAAAGUCCAUCUCACUACUAAAAACACUGAUAAACUAAUAAAGCAUUAAAUUAAUAUAAGAAAAUAAAAGCAAAAUCCAAAAAAUUUUAACAAAUUUAUGUUUUCAACCACAAAUAUAAUAAGUCAAAGAAAACCUUUAGGAGAACAAUUCUCAGUUGAAAUGAUGUAGUAUUUUUAUCUUAUAGAGUCAGUAAAAACUAGAAUCUAUGUGCACAAAAACAUAUAUCGAUCACUUUAAAAAUGAAAAAUACCCAAUCAGAAAAGAUAUAAAGGAAUUAAAAAGAAUAAUGAAAGCAUAGUGCAUAUAAGAUAUGGGAAUUAUUACAUUCAAAGUUGAAGGAAAAAAAGACUAAUAAUAUGUUGGGGGAACAAAGAGCGAUUACAAAUACUAACAAAGAAAAUAAACUGUAAAAUAUAACAAGGCAUAAAAUAAUGUUCUAGAAUUUUUGUAUUUGAAACCUAAAGUCAGUGACCUGGGAGAAACUCAGUGGGUCGAAUGCUUGCUGAGAAAGCAUGAGGACCUGAAUUUAAAAGAACAUGCAGGCCUGAGCAUCUGCAGCAGACGUCUUGGUUCCGGGAACCUGCCGAGGGUAUUCAGCACAGGCCCCAGACAUCCGGCCACUUUCCCGGCCAGAGGAUAGGGGUCCGCCCGGCCCGGGAGCCCUUUGCCUGAGCAUCGGCCUAUUGAACAUGCAAACUUUCUAUGCCCCAGUACAGGGG